UACAGAGGUCUCAAGUGUUGUUCGGAUUCAUUGGGCGUAAAGGGUGCGUAGGCGGCGGGGCAAGUCGGAUGUGAAAUCUCAGGGCUCAACCCUGAAACUGCAUUCGAUACUGCCUUGCUCGAGGACUGGAGAGGAGAUUGGAAUUCACGGUGUAGCAGUGAAAUGCGUAGAUAUCGUGAGGAAGACCAGUGGCGAAGGCGGAUCUCUGGACAGUUCCUGACGCUGAGGCACGAAGGCCAGGGGAGCAAACGGG
rnacentral:rRNA from 1 species